AUAUAGUAACUUCUUCGAGCAUAUUAGCCUAAGGUUAAUCUAUGGCUGGUACGCCUGAGCAGUUAGCUCACAGGGUAUAUCUGGAAACGGAUAUGCCUUCCGUUAUGAAAAGAAGGGGGGAUUUUUAUAGA
rnacentral:ncRNA from 1 species